GAUGAUUGACCAUGCGGGGGCGAUCGGUCAUCGUCGGCCCAAGCAGGGAAGCCGGUGAGAGGCCGGCGCGGACCCGCCACGGUAUGUGACUGAAUGCGCUGUCGUUGUGCCACUGGGCCAUGAGGCCUGGGAAGGUGACAGAGCCUGGGGUCACGAGCCCGGAAACCUGCGAACAGUGUCGAUCACCUC
rnacentral:ncRNA from 21 species